UAAAAGGUCUUUGAAAUGUAACCGGGAAAGCUUGUUUUUUCAUCCCAGUAUGUUUGAAUGUAAUAGUUCAUUAUUACUAGUUGUUAGAAAACUAUUGAAGUUUAUACCAGCCAGCCUACCAGAGAGUUAGGAAGACUUAUCCGCUUAUGAAGCAGGCACAAAGGGCAGAAGUUUAAAAACGCAGUGACGGGUUUGUGUCUUUAAAGGGCCUUGCUCGAACACUCGAAAUUGAAAGCGACUUGAGGAGAGUUAAAUUAUAUUACAAGUGUGCAGCUCAGAAGAUGUAAAACUGGAGGUAGUGGAAAGACAAAGAUUGCUGCAAAACAGAAGGGAGAGUCGGGAUCUGAGAAGACACGAGUGAGUUCAGAGGAAAAAGCAGACAGAAAAUGUUAAACUAGAUUCAGGUUGACACAAUGACAGGACACAUUUUAUAUAAAGAAAUCAGUGUAAUAACUUUGUAACAUAACAAGUCAGACAUUUUUGUUUCUUAAUGAGUUGUUGUUCAGAGAUGUUGUAAUUUGAACUGACUAGUAUUGAUUAUUGAUUAAACAUAAUUUGCUCAGUAACAGUACUUUCAAAUAGACAACUAUUAAUUAAGAUGAUCACAAGCAUCUAUCUGGAAAUAUUUAAUAUUUGUUCUUAUUCUACAUUUUAGAGCCAACGACAAACCGCAGCAAAAAGGGACAGAUAAACUACAACAACCAAAACAAGAAGAUGUUAAUGAGAACACAUCAACAGUAUAUGACAACACAUCAAUGGUAUAUGAGAAUAUAUCAACGGUAUAU